UUAGAUUAGAAAUAGGAAAAUGUUAGUAGAACAAAAAUACUAAAAUAUUAUUUUGUCAAAUAUAUUUCCAAAUGUCACGCUCUCAUGCGUCGUCGUCACGUUGGACCAGCCUCAAUGAGGAAUGGAACAGCUUCUUGCAAAUGUGCCUAGUAAGAAUUAACAUAUAGUUACUUGAAUGUUAAUUCUGUUUUGUGCUUGAAUGCCUGCUAAUUGCUUGAAUGUUAAUCAUGUCAUAAUUAACAAUUAAAGAGCAGAGGGAAUGGAGGGAAUUGGCAAACAUGAUGCAGAAUGUGGUGGCUCCACCAGAGGCUUUUUUUCAGACCAUUCACGCUAGGGACCAGAUUUUUCGGUGAAGUUGGUAAGGUAUAUGCUGUCAGGUGGAAUGACGUACUGGACGGUGUGUGGCAUUUGGUUGACAAAGACGAAAAUUAUCAUAACGUUGUGUAUAACAAAGAUUUAGACCAACCAGCCAUUGUAGCAGGGUGGACAACAUUACGAGAUUUUUACCAGCUGACCGGAGAUCAUCUAGUAUCCUUGCAUUUUUAUGGUAGCAGUGCAUUUUUUCUUACCAUAUUCAAGAUCAGUUGCUUGCCCAGAUCAUUCCCAAGAUGACACUUUUUAUACCAUCAAGUGUCAGGUUCUGUCACCUUCAAGGUUUAUCUCACUGAGCAGAAAGUUACCUGUAACAAUCUGGACGUUCCAAGUAGCAUGUAUUAUUUUCUUAAAGACAAAGGCUGGACACAUUUGCACUUGGAGGACGUUGUAGAUUGUCCGCUCAUGUUCAACCAUUAUAGGAAGACACUUAAAAUUGGAGUCGGAUGGAAACAUUUUUGCGAGACGUUAUCGUUGAUCGCUGACAUGAAAAUAGUUUUUGAAUUCAUUGAUCCCAAUGUUAACCGUGUGCUCUAUUGGCCGUGUUUAUGAACAAUUUAGGAUUUUGAACAUUUUAAUUAUUAUGAACAU